CGAGAACCAGCCCAGGUGAGCAGCCCGCUCUAUAAAUCAGAGGCAGCAGCACGCCACCAGGAAGGAACAGAAAAGAAAGAAGAAAAUAGAAAGGGAAAAGGACGUUGUCUUCCUCCUCCCGUUCAGAGAUCAUCUGUAUUUCCCGUGAUCUUGCUCACGUGCCGGUUCGAUCUCGCCGGCGGCUACGGGUUGUUACACCUCCUCACGCAAAC
rnacentral:lncRNA from 1 species